GGGAAAAUAGCUCAGUGGUAGAGCAUUUGCCUACCAUGCUAGAGGUCUUGGAUCCAAUUCCCA
rnacentral:tRNA from 1 species